AUGAACGCUGGCGGCGUGCCUAAUACAUGCAAGUCGAGCGAACAGACGAGGAGCUUGCUCCUCUGACGUUAGCGGCGGACGGGUGAGUAACACGUGGAUAACCUACCUAUAAGACUGGGAUAACUUCGGGAAACCGGAGCUAAUACCGGAUAAUAUAUUGAACCGCAUGGUUCAAUAGUGAAAGACGGUUUUGCUGUCACUUAUAGAUGGAUCCGCGCCGCAUUAGCUAGUUGGUAAGGUAACGGCUUACCAAGGCGACGAUGCGUAGCCGACCUGAGAGGGUGAUCGGCCACACUGGAACUGAGACACGGUCCAGACUCCUACGGGAGGCGGCAGUAGGGAAUCUUCCGCAAUGGGCGAAAGCCUGACGGAGCAACGCCGCGUGAGUGAUGAAGGUCUUCGGAUCGUAAAACUCUGUUAUUAGGGAAGAACAAAUGUGUAAGUAACUAUGCACGUCUUGACGGUACCUAAUCAGAAAGCCACGGCUAACUACGUG
rnacentral:rRNA from 1 species